GAUGAACGCUCGCGACAGGCUUAACACAUGCAAGUCGAGGGGCAGCACAGGUAGCAAUACUGGGUGGCGACCGGCGCACGGGUGAGUAACGCGUAUGCAACUUACCUAUCAGAGGGGGAUAACCCGGCGAAAGUCGGACUAAUACCGCAUGAAGCAGGGGUCCCGCAUGGGGAUAUUUGCUAAAGAUUCAUCGCUGAUAGAUAGGCAUGCGUUCCAUUAGGCAGUUGGCGGGGUAACGGCCCACCAAACCGACGAUGGAUAGGGGUUCUGAGAGGAAGGUCCCCCACAUUGGUACUGAGACACGGACCAAACUCCUACGGGAGGCAGCAGUGAGGAAUAUUGGUCAAUGGCCGAGAGGCUGAACCAGCCAAGUCGCGUGAGGGAGGAAGGUUCUAUGGAUCGUAAACCUCUUUUAUAAGGGAAUAAAGUGCGGGACGUGUCCCGUUUUGUAUGUACCUUAUGAAUAAGGAUCGGCUAACUCCGUG
rnacentral:rRNA from 1 species